CCUACGGGAGGCAGCAGUGGGGGAUAUUGCACAAUGGGGGAAACCCUGAUGCAGCGACGCCGCGUGAGUGAAGAAGUAUUUCGGUAUGUAAAGCUCUAUCAGCAGGGCAGAAAAUGACUGUACCUGACCAAGAAGCACCGGCUAACUACGUGCCAGCAGCCGCGGUAAUACGUGGGGGGCAAGCGUUGUCCGGAUUUACUGGGCGUAAAGGGAGCGUAGGCGGUUAGGUAAGUCUGGUGUGAAAGCCCGGGGCUCAACCCCGGGUCUGCAUUGGAAACUGUGUAACUGGAGUACAGGAGGGGUAGGCGGAAUUCCUGGUGUAGCGGUGAAAUGCGUAGAUAUCAGGAGGAACACCGGCGGCGAAGGCGGCCUGCUGGAC
rnacentral:rRNA from 1 species